ACGGUGAGGGAUGAAAGCUGGGGGAGCGAACCGGAUUAGAUACCCGGGUAGUCCCAGCCGUAAACGAUGCGAGCUAGAUGAUUCGAUCGCAGUUCGCGAUCGAAGUGUCGCAGGGAAGCCGUUAAGCUCGCCGCCUGGGGAGUACGGUCGCAAGGCUGAAUCGCGAGAAGAGAGAUCUUCUCGCGCAGUUCACUUAAAGGAAUUGGCGGGGGAGCACCACAAGGGGUGAAGCCUGCGGUUCAAUUGGAGUCAACGCCG
rnacentral:rRNA from 1 species